UGGCCGCGGGAUUGAUUAACCCAUGCAAUUCUAACGAGCACCUCCGUGCUCCUGGCGAACGGCUCAGUAACCCUUGGAUAACCCGCCCCUGGGACCGGGAUAACCCCGGGAAACUGGGGAUAAACCCGGAUAGGUGAAGAUGCCUGGAAUGGUGCUUCACCCAAACACCUCCGGGUGCCCAAGGAUGGGUCUGCGGCCGAUUAAGUAGUUGGUAGGGUAACGGCCUACCAAGCCCAUCAUCGGUACGGGUUGUGAGAGCAAGAGCCCGGAAAUGGAACCUGAAACAAGGUUCCAGGCCCUACGGGGCGCAACAGGCGCGAAACCUCCGCAAUGCACGCAAGUGCGACGGGGGAACCCCAAGUGCCACUCUUAACGGGGUGGCUUUUCAAAAAUGUAAAAAGCUUCUGGAAUAAGGGCUGGGCAAGACCGGUGCCAGCCGCCGCGGUAACACCGGCAGCUCAAGUGGUAGCCGCUUUUAUUGGGCCUAAAGCGUCCGUAGCCGGUCUGAUAAGUCUCUGGUGAAAUCCCACAGCUUAACUGUGGGAAUUGCUGGAGAUACUAUCAUGACUCGAGGUCGGGAGAGGCUGGAGGUACUCCCAGGGUAGGGGUGAAAUCCUGUAAUCCUGGGAGGACCACCUGUGGCGAAAGCGUCCUACUGGAAACAAACUGACCGUGAGGGACGAAAGCCAGGGGCGCGAACCGGAUUAGAUGACCCAGGUAGUCCUGGNUCUUCACCAAGUGGACUUGGUGUUGGGAUGGCUUCGAGCUGCCCCAGUGCCNAAGGGAAGCUGUUAAGUCCAACUGCUGGGAAGUACGGCGCAAGGCUGAAACUUAAAGGAAUUGGCGGGGGGAGCA
rnacentral:rRNA from 1 species